rnacentral:misc_RNA from 1 species
AAACAGACAGGUAGCCAAUGGGGUGGACCGGGAUGGUCCGGUACUUUCCAAGCUUGGUUCAAGCUCCACAGCAGAGCUCCACCCAAAGACUGGUGCUAAUGGNNNNNGUGAAUCCAAGCCCACUGCCAUGCCACCUGCUAGUGUUAUGACAAGACUCAUUCUCAUUAUGGUUUGGAGAAAACUUAUAAGGAAUCCCAAUACUUAUUCCAGCC